UCUCCGUUGGUGAACCAGCGGAGGGAUCAUUAUAGAGUUUUCUAAACUCCCAACCCAUGUGAACUUACCAUUGUUGCCUCGGCAGAAGCUGCUCGGUGCACCCUACCUUGGAACGGCCUACCCUUUAGCGCCUUACCCUGGAACGACUUACCCUGUAACGCCUGCCGGUGGACUACUAAACUCUUGUUAUUCUAUGGAUAUCUGAGCGUCUUAUUUAAUAAGUUAAAACUUUCAACAACGGAUCUCUUGGUUCUGGCAUCGAUGAAGAACGCAGC
rnacentral:misc_RNA from 1 species